rnacentral:rRNA from 1 species
AUUGAACGCUGGCGGCAUGCCUUACACAUGCAAGUCGAACGGUAACGGGCCUUCGGGUGCCGACGAGUGGCGAACGGGUGAGUAAUACAUCGGAACGUGCCCGAUCGUGGGGGAUAACGAGGCGAAAGCUUUGCUAAUACCGCAUACGAUCUACGGAUGAAAGCAGGGGACCGCAAGGCCUUGCGCGGACGGAGCGGCCGAUGGCAGAUUAGGUGGUUGGUGGGAUAAAAGCUUACCAAGCCGACGAUCUGUAGCUGGUCUGAGAGGAUGAUCAGCCACACUGGGACUGAGACACGGCCCAGACUCCUACGGGAGGCAGCAGUGGGGAAUUUUGGACAAUGGGCGCAAGCCUGAUCCAGCCAUGCCGCGUGCAGGAUGAAGGCCUUCGGGUUGUAAACUGCUUUUGUACGGAACGAAAAGCAUUCUUUUAAUACAGGAGGGUCAUGACGGUACCGUAAGAAUAAGCACCGGCUAACUACGUG